UACGGGGGGUGCGAGCGUUGUCCGGAUUUACUGGGCGUAAAGGGCGUGUAGGCGGUCCGUUAAGUCUGGUGUGAAAUCUCCCGGCUCAACUGGGAGGGGUCAUCGGAUACUGGCGGACUUGAGGGAGGUAGAGGAAAGCAGAAUUCCUGGUGUAGCGGUGAAAUGCGUAGAUAUCAGGAGGAAUACCAGUGGCGAAGGCGGCUUUCUGGGCCUAUCCUGACGCUGAGGAGCGAAAGCGUGGGGAGCAAACCGG
rnacentral:rRNA from 1 species